UACGGGGGGGGCAAGCGUUGUUCGGAAUUACUGGGCGUAAAGGGCUCGUAGGCGGCCAACUAAGUCAGACGUGAAAUCCCCAGGCUUAACCUGGGAACUGCGUCUGAUACUGGAUGGCUUGAGGUUGGGAGAGGGAUGCGGAAUUCCAGGUGUAGCGGUGAAAUGCGUAGAUAUCUGGAGGAACACCGGUGGCGAAGGCGGCAUCCUGGACCAAUUCUGACACUGAGGAGCGAAAGCCAGGGGAGCAAACGGG
rnacentral:rRNA from 1 species